rnacentral:tRNA from 1 species
CAAGGAAUAGUUUAAUUUAGAAUUCUGGCUUUGGGAGCCAGCGGUGGGGGUUAAAAUCCCCCUUCUUUGA